rnacentral:sRNA from 1 species
UAUACAAAAUCCACAUACAUAUGUGCGACUACGUACGCAUACAAGCACACAAUUCUCAGUGUUCGCACACAAAAAUAUAUGCUUGGUUUUCGAAAAAUAGUAGCUAUUUAUCUGGGUUUAAUGACCUGAAAGUAGAGGGAUUGUCGAGAGGCACCACAAAGUGAGAAUUUAACGCAGAAUUCACGAAUUAAUUGGAAUUUGCAACGACUGAAUAUAUGAACAUACACGUAUGAGUGACAAUGUAACAACGACAUUGCAUUUCGGUACUGAUGAAAUGGAACAUCAAAUAAAAUACUGCAUAAAUUUUGAGAUGCAUGGGGAAGAUUUGCGGAGCAAUUGCGAAUAAAGCAUAAAGAUAAAUAACUUCAGUUAUCUAAAUUGUAAAAUAGGGAACGAACAGCUACCAAUUUGCUGCCGCAACAUGCCUGACAAAUUAUUUUGACUGAUUUUCUGCUUUGUUUUUGUUAUUAAUUUUGUUGCGAUAUAUGUUUUUGAUCUGGCAACAACGUCUCUGAAACUGAAGUACCUGAACUUUUUUGCAGCCCUGUCUGAAACUUAAAGUUUAGUGUUGUGGGUUGUUGUAACCAAUUGUUUGAUAUUCAAAAGAAAGUGAUUGGAAAUAAAAAUAUAAAGGGAAGUGCUGAAAAAUCUUAAACUAUCGCCUUUGACAUAAGAUGGUUGAUUUAAUUAAUGAAACUACUUAAUUGAUUUCUGCCUUUGAAAUAUAA